rnacentral:rRNA from 1 species
CCUGUUUAUCAAAAACAUGGCUUUUUGAAAAUAAUUUAAAGUCUGGCCUGCCCACUGAAUUUUUAAAGGGCCGCGGUAAUUUGACCGUGCUAAGGUAGCAUAAUCAUUAGUUUUUUAAUUGAAAGCUGGUAUGAAUGGUCGGAUGAGAAAAUAACUGUCUCUAUUUAAUUUUUAUUGAAUUUUAUUUUUAAGUAAAAAAGCUUAAAUUAAAUUAAAAGACGAGAAGACCCUAUAGAGUUUUAUAAAAUUUAAAAUUUAAAUUUUUAGUAUUAUUAUUUUGUAUUUUAAAUUUUAUUUGAUUGGGGCGAUUGAAAAAUUUAAUAAACUUUUUUUAAAUAAAAACAUUAAUGUAUGAAUUUUUGAUCCAUAAAUAAUGAUUAUAAGAUUAAAUUACCUUAGGGAUAACAGCGUAA